CCUACGGGGGGCAGCAGUGGGGAAUAUUGGACAAUGGGGGGAACCCUGAUCCAGCCAUGCCGCGUGUGUGAAGAAGGCCCUCGGGUUGUAAAGCACUUUCAGUGAGGAAGAACGCCUGGUGGUUAAUACCCAUCAGGAAAGACAUCACUCACAGAAGAAGCACCGGCUAACUCCGUGCCAGCAGCCGCGGUAAUACGGAGGGUGCGAGCGUUAAUCGGAAUUACUGGGCGUAAAGCGCGCGUAGGUGGCUUGAUAAGCCGGUUGUGAAAGCCCCGGGCUCAACCUGGGAACGGCAUCCGGAACUGUCAAGCUAGAGGGCAGGAGAGGAAGGUAGAAUUCCCGGUGUAGCGGUGAAAUGCGUAGAGAUCGGGAGGAAUACCAGUGGCGAAGGCGGCCUUCUGGACUGACACUGACACUGAGGUGCGAAAGCGUGGGUAGCAAACAGGAUUAGAUACCCUUGUAGGUC
rnacentral:rRNA from 1 species